rnacentral:rRNA from 1 species
UACAGAGGGGGCAAGCGUUGUUCGGAAUUACUGGGCGUCAAGGGCGCGUAGGCGGCCUUCUAAGUCGCACGUGAAAUCCCCGGGCUCAACCCGGGAACUGCGUCCGAUACUGGAAGGCUUGAAUCCGGGAGAGGGAUGCGGAAUUCCAGGUGUAGCGGUGAAAUGCGUAGAUAUCUGGAGGAACACCGGUGGCGAAGGCGGCAUCCUGGACCGGCAUUGACGCUGAGGCGCGAAAGCCAGGGGAGCAAACGGG